UACAGGGGGUGCAAACGUUGCUCGGAAUUACUGGGCGUAAAGCGUGCGCAGGCGGUCUUUUAAGUCAGAUGUGAAAUCCCCGGGCUUAACCUGGGAACUGCGUUUGAAACUGGAAGGCUUGAGUGUGGCAGAGGGGGGUGGAAUUCCACGUGUAGCAGUGAAAUGCGUAGAGAUGUGGAGGAACACCGAUGGCGAAGGCAGCCCCCUGGGCUAACACUGACGCUCAUGCACGAAAGCGUGGGGAGCAAACAGG
rnacentral:rRNA from 1 species